GCCUCCCCAGUGGUUUGGGAAGCCCUGGUUCUCGUGGCGUGCUUUGCCUGUGCAGGGCUGAAUGCAUCAGAUCAGUUUGAACGUGCUUGAUGCCACAAAUCAGCACCUGCUGGGCAGUGAGCCUUGGCAUGUGCUCUAUUUUUGGGUGCAGAAUAAGGGAGCCAUUCAUCUCGAGCUGAUUUGCAAGGAUAAACUGGAGUGGGAGAGCAGCAGUGACUCAGCUCAGCGUUCUGGGCCUGCUCAGUAACUGUGGAGCUGCUCUGCUUCCCUCAGAUGGAAUGGACAAUCCUUCCCAACUCCAAGCACCUUGUCCCAGGCCUUUCCCACUGCCAUGAGUGGAGAGGAGACACAUGGCUCCUGCUUGAGGAGAGCAGAAAAGGCAUUUCCAUCCUGAAGGCAGUGGCUGGAAGGGCUGCCUGGGCUCUGACCUGCUGCAGGAGGCAGCCUCAUGUCAUGGAUAGGUUUGCUGCUGGAAGCUGGAGAAGUGGGACAAAGCUUGAGAAACUCCCCUUGGUUCUUCCUAUCCUUUGUGAAACUGGGAUGCACUGGGAUCCAGCUCUGCAUUGAGGUGUGGUGCUCCAUGUCCAGCAUCAUUUGGGAGCCCACAGGCUGGCCCAAGGGGUGCACAGAGAUGCCCAAGGGGGCUGGAGACCACCUUCACUCGGCAGCAGACACAGGCUCAGAGCUGCUGGAAGCCUCCUGGGAUGCUCCAGAGUCAGAAUUGAAAAUGGACACGGAUACUGCCACUGCCUGCUCACGUUUUCCCAGCAAUCCCAAACUGAAGAAAAGCGGUUUUUUUCCCUUUCCUAGGAGGAUUUUCUUACAUGGGAUACGAGGCGAGUGA
rnacentral:lncRNA from 1 species